UAAAAUAAAAUAAAAAAAAAGGCAUAAUUCAAGAGGAUAAUAUUAUUGUCCAUUGCAGUCCUAUAUAAGAAAAUAUGUUUCGGUCUAAGGUAGAGAAAGGAUAAAAAUUAAAAGAGGAGGAAUUUUUUUCAAUUAAUAAAAAGAAAGGAUAAAGAGUUUAAGAGUAAGAAACUCUUAUCCAUUAUUGAGGACACCGACUGUGGUGUAUAUUGUACUUAAAAUAAUAAGUAUAUUUGAUUAUGUCCAAAGAAUAUUAAGGGUAACUAACAAAUGUAUUUAUUAUAAGCAGUUAUAUAAUAAGGGUUCUUUUAAGUGCAAUUAGAUUAAUAGAUAGAUAGGCAAUUGUUGAUUUAUUUAUUGAUAGUGUAAGAUAACAUGUCCGUGAAUGUAGCCUUAUGUUGAGAAGGUG
rnacentral:misc_RNA from 1 species